ACGAAUCCAUUCGGAAGCUGUCAAAACGGGCCCAACCCGUCGGGCUGGGCCCGUUUACCCGUAGUUUUGGACGGGUUGGGUGGGAGAAAUCCCAACCCGUCCCGUUUUCGGCCCGUCCCGUUUAACCCGUGUUGGGCAC